CGUGGUAGACCACCACGUUGAUAGGCCAGGUGUGGAAGCGCGGUGACGCGUGUAGCUUACUGGUACUAAUCGCUCGAUCGGCUUGAUCGU
rnacentral:ncRNA from 1 species